GUUAGGGUUAAUCUGUUCGAUUCGAGCUCUCUUAGGUUUUGGUUCCUCCUGCGCGUUCUCCUCUUCCUUGUCGGAGACCUCCGAGAGAACCUCUGAUUCGAGAAACUGAGCCAAGAACUCGUCUUCUUCAUCUGGAAUGGCCAUUUCACAUUAAGCGAUGGAAUUUUCGAACUCCUACAACGAUCGAUUGUGAAUAGGCCGAUAAAUAAUCUCCGUCGGCCGGUGACCGG
rnacentral:misc_RNA from 1 species